GGCCUCUGACGGUUUGAGUGGUCUUAGACGCUGGACUUCAAAUCCAGUUACUCUGCGAAGGAGUAGGGGUUCGAUUCCCCUCAGAGGCCGCCA
rnacentral:tRNA from 1 species